rnacentral:rRNA from 1 species
AGCGAACGCUGGCGGCAGGCCUAACACAUGCAAGUCGAACGGACUCUUCGGAGUUAGUGGCGGACGGGUGAGUAACACGUGGGAACGUGCCUUUAGGUUCGGCAUAACUCAGGGAAACUUGUGCUAAUACCGAAUGUGCCCUUCGGGGGAAAGAUUUAUCGCCUUUAGAGCGGCCCGCGUCUGAUUAGCUAGUUGGUGAGGUAACGGCUCACCAAGGCGAUGAUCAGUAUCUGGUCUGAGAGGAUGACCAGCCACACUGGGACUGAGCCACGGCCCUGACUCCUACGGUAGGCAGCAGUGGGGAAUCUUGCGCAAUGAGCGAAAGCCUGACGCAGCCAUGCCGCGUGAAUGAUGAAGGUCUUAGGAUUGUAAAAUUCUUUCACCGGGGACGAUAAUGACGGUACCCGGAGAAGAAGCCCCGGCUAACUUCGUGCCAGCAGCCGCAGUAACAC